rnacentral:rRNA from 1 species
GACGAACGCUGGCGGCGUGCUUAACACAUGCAAGUCGAACGGAAAGGCCCUGCUUUUGUGGGGUGCUCGAGUGGCGAACGGGUGAGUAACACGUGAGUAACCUGCCCUUGACUUUGGGAUAACUUCAGGAAACUGGGGCUAAUACCGGAUAGGAGCUCCUGCUGCAUGGUGGGGGUUGGAAAGUUUCGGCGGUUGGGGAUGGACUCGCGGCUUAUCAGCUUGUUGGUGGGGUAGUGGCUUACCAAGGCUUUGACGGGUAGCCGGCCUGAGAGGGUGACCGGCCACAUUGGGACUGAGAUACGGCCCAGACUCCUACGGGAGGCAGCAGUGGGGAAUAUUGCACAAUGGGCGGAAGCCUGAUGCAGCAACGCCGCGUGCGGGAUGACGGCCUUCGGGUUGUAAACCGCUUUCGCCUGUGACGAAGCGUGAGUGACGGUAAUGGGUAAAGAAGCACCGGCUAACUACGUGCCAGCAGCCGCGGUGAUACGUAGGGUGCGAGCGUUGUCCGGAUUUAUUGGGCGUAAAGGGCUCGUAGGUGGUUGAUCGCGUCGGAAGUGUAAUCUUGGGGCUUAACCCUGAGCGUGCUUUCGAUACGGGUUGACUUGAGGAAGGUAGGGGAGAAUGGAAUUCCUGGUGGAGCGGUGGAAUGCGCAGAUAUCAGGAGGAACACCAGUGGCGAAGGCGGUUCUCUGGGCCUUUCCUGACGCUGAGGAGCGAAAGCGUGGGGAGCGAACAGGCUUAGAUACCCUGGUAGUCCACGCUGUAAACGGUGGGUACUAGGUGUGGGGUCCAUUCCACGGGUUCCGUGCCGUAGCUAACGCUUUAAGUACCCCGCCUGGGGAGUACGGCCGCAAGGCUAAAACUCAAAGGAAUUGACGGGGCCCCGCACAAGCGGCGGAGCAUGCGGAUUAAUUCGAUGCAACGCGUAGAACCUUACCUGGGUUUGACAUGGAUCGGGAGCGCUCAGAGAUGGGUGUGCCUCUUUUGGGGUCGGUUCACAGGUGGUGCAUGGCUGUCGUCAGCUCGUGUCGUGAGAUGUUGGGUUAAGUCCCGCAACGAGCGCAACCCUUGUUCACUGUUGCCAGCCCGUUAUGGUGGGGACUCAGUGGAGACCGCCGGGGUCAACUCGGAGGAAGGUGGGGAUGACGUCAAGUCAUCAUGCCCCUUAUGUCCAGGGCUUCACGCAUGCUACAAUGGCUGGUACAGAGAGUGGCGAGCCUGUGAGGGUGAGCGAAUCUCGGAAAGCCGGUCUCAGUUCGGAUUGGGGUCUGCAACUCGACCUCAUGAAGUCGGAGUCGCUAGUAAUCGCAGAUCAGCAACGCUGCGGUGAAUACGUUCCCGGGGCU